AUUGAACGCUGGCGGAAUGCUUUACACAUGCAAGUCGAACGGCAGCACGGGGCAACCUGGUGGCGAGUGGCGAACGGGUGAGUAAUAUAUCGGAACGUGCCCAAUCGUGGGGGAGUAACGUAGCGAAAGUUACGCUAAUACCGCAUACGAUCUACGGAUGAAAGCGGGGGAGUCGCAAGACCUCGCGCGAAUGGAGCGGCCGAUAUCAGAUUAGGUAGUUGGUGGGGUAAAGGCUCACCAAGCCAACGAUCUGUAGCUGGUCUGAGAGGACGACCAGCCACACUGGAACUGAGACACGGUCCAGACUCCUACGGGAGGGCAGCAGUGGGGAA
rnacentral:rRNA from 1 species